ensembl:lncRNA
GCCAGAGAAGCGCAGCCAGGCAGGGGCUAGAAGGGAGAUCUUCUCAGAGAGAACUGUCGGUUUCAGUGUUUUCUCUUGCCUGUUGCUCUGCAUCAGUGAAGGCGUUGGAUGCUCACUGCCUGCUGUGCAGCACAACUCAUGGAUAAUGGCCCAAAUAUUCUCUCCAGAGAAACAAGUCGUUUGGAAACUGCAUUACACCAUCAGCGUGGUAUUAGAUAUUCCUUGCCAAGUGAUCCCACUGAAUGCCAGCUGGAAUAAGAUUAGCUCCUCCUGAACCUGAGACAUGAAACAAUGACUGCCAGAGACUCCUGCACUGGAGGACCUAGUACCCAUCUCGAAUUUUUAAGAUGCAGGAUCCUGGUUCACUGUCAGAGUUCUGUGUGAAACCUUUCUUUUUGCGAGACUCCUGUCCCUCAGUCUCUGGGUCUGCAUUUGAACUCUCCAGAAGAUGAAGUGUCCUUCCAUCUCUAUUUCUUCUUCUUCCCCGUGAAAGUCAAGCUGUGAGCAUGUGAGGGGGCAGUGCAUCUCAAUUGCAUCCUGCCAUCGUCCUGAUAAAUCCAGCAGUAUGUGGCAGCCCCCUUUAGAUACUGAAAGGCUGCUGUCAUAUCUCCCCAGAACCUUCUCUUCUUUGUGAUGAACAGCCCCAGCUCUCAUCCUGUCCUUGUAGAGAAGUGUUCCAUCCCUUGGAUCAUUUUUUUGGCCCUUGUCUGAAUGUGCUCCAACAGCUCCAUGUCUCUCCUGUAUUGAGGACUCCACAUCUGGACACAGUACUCCAGGUGAAGUCUCGCAGCACAGAUCAGAGGGACAGGAUCACUCCCUUGACUUGCUGGCCAUGCUCCUUUUGAUGCAGCCCAGGAUAUGGUUGGAUUUCUGGGCUGUGAGGGUACAUUGCUGGCUCAUGUCCAGCUUGCCAUCCACCAUUACCACCAUGUCCUUUUUGGCAGGACUAUGCUCAAUUUGACAAAUGAAGUAUGUGAAAUAAGAGGUCUUGAUAUCUUCAAUUCAGCCUUUGGGAGAUCUAAAUUAUUUUCUUGGAGAUGAAGUUGUUAACCCUCAUAGCUAAGUUUGACCUAAAUCUGUGAAGGUCAGAAAUAGCCCUUUCGAGCUUCCAUUUUAAACUACAGGUUUCACCAACUGCGUUUUAACUUACUUUAUUCAAACAAACAAACAAACAAACAAACAAAAACAAAGAAACCAACCAAACAGACAAACAAAAACCCCACACAAUGAAUGAAAUAUUCCCACUAGUUAAGAGUGACCUUGGAAAUAAUUCACAAAUGUUAAGCACAGUUACACUGAUGCAUGGGCAGAUUGGUUGGAGAUAUACUCAUUAAGCAAAAAUAUCUCAAAAAGAAACCAUGCACUGAAACACAGUGGCAGUACAUAUGCAAAAUAAUAAAUCUUUUACAAAGUCCCAUCAGUACUGGGGAAAUUCUUCAUGAUUGGUGGACUUUGCCUGUGUCCCAGCUGAUUCAAAGUCAAUGGUCAUGCAGUUAUACUGUACUGUAUAUCAUCUAAAAAGCAAUUUUCUCUCCAUUUGCAGGAAAGCUUCAGAUUUGAUC